UACGGAAGGUGCAAGCGUUGUUCGGAAUGACUGGGCGUAAAGCGCACGUAGGCGGUCUCGCAAGUCGGAUGUGAAAGCCCUAGGCUCAACCUGGGAACUGCAUCCGAAACUGCCUGACUUGAAUGCUUGAGAGGUUGGUGGAAUUCCAGGUGUAGGAGUGAAAUCCGUAGAUAUCUGGAGGAACAUCGGAGGCGAAGGCGGCCAACUGGCGAUGCAUUGACGCUGAGGUGCGAAAGCGUGGGGGAGCAAACAGG
rnacentral:rRNA from 1 species